AAACUAACAGAGAAAGCUGUUUUGCAAUCUCUGAAUCUUCUAGGCACCAGGCUCUGGUGGAAAAUAAACUUGGGCAGAAGAUCAUCUUCUCUGGAUCAGCUCUGUACCCCAGGAUAAUCAACGAUGAUGAAGGUUGGAGGGAGAGAGAGACGGAGCAGACCCUCGAAAUGAAGGAGAAGACCCAAGAAACAUUGGAUGGUUUCAUCUCUGACUAUAUGUGCCACCUGAAAGAAUAUGGCUGUCAUUCUGGAAAGUGAUUUGGAACUAUGCUCAAAAAGUUAUCAAACUGUGCAUAUCCUUUGCUCCAGCAAUGUUAUUACUGGGUUUAUAUCCCAAAGAGAUCUUAAAGAAGGGAAAGGGAUCUGUAUGUGUAAGAGUGUUUGUGGCAGCCCUCUUUGUAGUGGCCAGAAACUGGAAACUGAGUGGAUGCUCAUCAAUUGGAGAAUGGCUGAAUAAAUUGUGGUAUAUGAAUGUGGGAGUUUUUCUUCUUUAAAAUAUAUAAAUGAUGGUUUUCUUUGGGAGAAGGUAGGUUUCUCGGGGAGGUUUUCUGGAGGCAGCCUUAGUUUCAGUUGAGAGUAAUAAUCAUCCAAAUGCAGCCAGGUGCUAAAAAUGCAAACGUUUAUUUUCUCCUUCCAAAAUAGCCCAGUUAGUUGAGGCCUAUCUCUCUGCUUCGUUCUAAGAGCUCUUGCAGCUUUGUCCUUUGCUUUUGCCUCUGCUUUCUUUAGCCUCCAGAGCCAGCACCAAGUUGAAUCUGUCUUGCCUCUGAGAAGGGGCUUCUGGCUCUCAAUCUCCCAGAGUGCUCCUCUCCGACUCCAGUCAAUGUUCCAAAUUAAAAACUCCUACUCAGAGAGGGCUUCUGGCUGAACUCACUUGACGCUCCCCUCUCAAUCUAAAUUCAGCUCAACUCUUGACUCAUAGCUUCUUCUGAAUUGACGCUCCCCUCUCCAUGUAAUUCAGCUGAAUUCUCUUAACUGGGCCUCUGCUUUCUUCUUAUAUAUCAGAGAGUGGGAUUAUAGAUUUUCUCCCCUAGUACUCUCUGGCCCUAAGAGCUUCAAGGGAGGUGUGAAUUCAGAUAUCUCAUACUAAACCCUGAAAUCUCCCAAAUGUGUGAACUCCAAUGAGUAAAGAUGUGAACACAAGCAUUGUAUCAAUUAGUUCUACUUAGUACCUUGUUUCAGGUUCUGGCCCAAAACAUCUUGUAAGAUUAGAUCAAGAAUACUGAACUAUGCUAAAUUAGAUAAUUAUUGUCUCUAUCAACUCUAGUGACUUAAUAGUUUGAAAAGAUUCCAACAUAUGAAUGUUAUGGAAUAUUAUUGUUCAGUAAGAAAGGACCAACAGGAUGAUUUCAGAAAGGCCUAGAGAGACUUACAUGAACUGAUACUGAGUGAAAUGAGCAGGACCAGGAGAUCAUGAUAUACUACAACAACAAUACUAUGUGAUGAUCAAUUAUGAUAGAUGUGGCCCUCUUCAACAAUGAGAUGAAACAAAUCAGUUCCAAUAAAACAAUAAUGGAUUGAACCAGCUACACCCAGCGAAAGAACUCUGGGAAAUGAGUAUGAACCACUACAUAGAAUUCCCAAUCCCUCUAUUUUUGUCUGCCUACAUUUUUUAUUUCUUUCACAGGUUCAUUGUACACUAUUUCAAAGUCCAAUUCUUUUUGUACAGCAAAAUAACAUUUUGGACAUUUAUACAUAUAUUGUAUUUAACUUAUACUUUAACAUAUUUAACAUGUAUUGGUCAACCUGCCAUCUGGAGGAGGGGAUGGGGAGAAGAAGGGGAAAAAUUGGAACAAAAGGUUUUGCAAUUGUCAGUGCUGAAAAAUUACUCAUGCAUAAAUCUUGUAAAUAAAAAGCUAUAAUAAUAAAAAAAAGGGGAAAAAAAAGAAUAUGGCUGUUAACCCUAAGUGUAUGGCAAUUGACUCAUGGACAUCAAAAAUUGUUAAUGAGACUGCUGCAGGAUUUCAAAACCUGCAGGAAUCAUUGGAUUCCAUGAGACAUGAUAAGACUGCUGCAGGACUACAAAACCUGUAGGAAUCAUUGGAUUCCCUGACUCAUGAAGUGAUGGACAAUAGAUUGCUUUUGGACUACCUCUUGGCUGCUGAAGGAGGUGUAUGUGAAGUCAGUAUUUAUAUACCCUCCUUCUAGAACUCAUGGAAAUCUUUUAUAAUACCAUGUUGAUUCCUAUUGUUUGCUACAUCACUACUUGCUUGUUUGAGUCCUCUCAUGCUGAUUCAUAUUGUUUGCUACAUCACUACUUGCAUGUGUGAUUCCUCAUGUUGACUCAUGUUGUUUGUUACAUCACUGUUAUAUUACUACUUGCUUGUGUAAUAUUUCCCAUGCUGAUUUAUGUAUUCCUGUCUCAACUAAAACAAAAGAAAGUAGGAGAUGUAGAGAGCCAGAGAUAGUGGGGGAACUCUGGGUAAGGUAUAAGACCCUUCAACCCAGAAAGAACCUGCUGACAAUGUCUGGCUUGGCUCCCCAUCUCCCUUUGGUGCUCUCAUCCUUCUUGAGAAGUCAUGGAGGGCGUGACCACCUGUGUUCUACUUGAAGCAAAGGAUACUUAGAGUAAAAGGCAUUUAUAUAUCAAUAGCAGGGUGCUUAUAGUUAACACAUAUGCAGUGUGCUGUAGUAAUGUUAUCUGUACCAAGGUAUUUAAGGGCUGAGAGGACUUGAAGUAAAGGGACUCCAUCUUUGA